AUUGAACGCUGGCGGCAGGCUUAACACAUGCAAGUCGAACGGGUGGCGGACGGGUGAGUACGGCAUGGGCAUGUGGCUUAUGGAGGGGGAUAACGACGGGAAACUGUCGCUAAUACCGCGUACCAUAGGAUAGGCCCAAGUGGGAUUAGGUAGGUGGUGGGGUAAUGGCCUACCAAGGCGACGAUCUCUAGCGGGUCUGAGAGGAUGACCAGCCACACUGGUACUGAGACACGGCCCGGACUCCUACGGGAGGCAGCAGUGGGGAAUAUUGCGCAAUGGGGGAAAGCUGACCCAGCCAUGCCGCGUGAAUGAAGAAGGCUUUCGGGUCGUAAAGCUCUUUUGUUGACGAAGCGGUAACUAAAGAAGAAGCAACGGCUAACUCCGUGCCAGCAGCCGCGGUAAUAC
rnacentral:rRNA from 1 species